AUUGACAUGCCUACAAAAUAAUCUGGUCAGGCUGACAGCAUUUUGAGAUAGUGCAGAACAGACAUGCAUACACAAACUUAUUAGGUAUUUGAGUCUCUACACAAACGUACAUUCACCAUCAGCUGUUAUCAAGUUAAAGGAUGGUUGCAGUAUACAAUCUAGGAACCUCCCCGUUGCCUAUAAUAACAGUCACACCUGUGCACGUGCCUCUUGUUGCGAAAUCAAGUUUAAGUACCCAGCAGUCAAACUGCUAAUUACACAAGCAUUUAACACAAGUUUGAAGUCUGGGAUAUGAUUACUAUUGAAUAAACAGAAAAGCAACUGCAGAUAUCAUACUAGCGAGCAACAAACUCUUGCAACAAUGAAAAGGAAAUUAAAAACAUUGUCGCCAGACUUUCAUGAAUGAGUACAAGCCAUUAGCAUAUUUUACAUCCCAUCUCAAUGAAUGUAAUCAAAACUGAUAUGUUAAAAGUUAAACUUAUAUGCGAAAGUAGUUACAAUGUUGUGAAAAAAGCUUUGGGAAAUGCAUCCGCUUGAAUUGUACCUGAAUUGAAAUCGAAUGGACAACCAAUGUAUAUAAAUCGACACCAUAUAAUUUGUCUUGCCACUUUACUGAGAAUAGAAGGAAUGACAAAGGCUAAAAAAGGCAUGCCUUCUAAUUUCUUCCUUCAGACGCAAAUUUUCUGUGGCAAA